rnacentral:rRNA from 1 species
GACUACUCGGGUAUCUAAGCCUGUUUGAUCCCCACGCUUUCGUGCCUCAGCGUCAGUUGUAUUCUAGUAAGCUGCCUUCGCAAUUGGUGUUCUGUGUUAUAUCUAAGCAUUUCACCGCUACACAACACAUUCCGCCUACCUCAUUUACACUCAAGACUAACAGUUUCAACGGCAAUUUUACAGUUAAGCUGCAAACUUUCACCGCUGACUAAUUAGUCCGCCUACGCACCCUUUAAACCCAAUAAAUCCGGAUAACGCUUGGAUCCUCCGUAUUACCGCGGCUGCUGGCACGGAGUUAGCCGAUCCUUAUUCGUAAAGUACAUACAAUAGAGUACACGUACUCUUUUUUAUUCCCUUACAAAAGAAGUUUACAAUCCAUAGAACCGUCUUCCUUCACGCGACUUGGCUGGUUCAGGCUCGCGCCCAUUGACCAAUAUUCCUCACUGCAGCCUCCCGUAGG